CCCUUAGACGUUCUGGGCCGCACGCGCGCUACACUGACAAAGGCAACGAGCUACUCUUCACCGAAAGGUGUGGGUAAUCUUUUGAAACUUUGUCGUGCUGGGGAUAGAUCCUUGCAAUUUUUGAUCUUAAACGAGGAAUUCCUAGUAAGCGCAAGUCAUCAACUUGCGUUGAUUACGUCCCUGCCCUUUGUACACACCGCCCGUCGCUCCUACCGAUUGAAUGCUCAGGUGAGCCAUUCGGACUUUCAUCAUGCUGGUUUCCAGUUUUGAUGAAGGAAAGUCUUGCGAACCUUAUCAUUUAGAGGAAGGAGAAGUCGUAACA
rnacentral:rRNA from 1 species